CAAGUCGAGUGCGCAGCUUUCUGUAGCAAUACAGGGAGUGGGCGCACGGCGCACGGGUGAGUAACACGUGGGUAACCUGCCCUUGGAUGGGGAAUAACCCCGCGAAAGCGGGGCUAAUACCGCAUAACAUUCCGGAAACCUUGGUUUCCGGACUCAAAGCCGUAAGGCGUCCGAGGAGUGGCCCGCGUACGAUUAGCUAGUUGGCGAGGUAAUGGCUCACCAAGGCUUUGAUCGUUAGCCGGUCUGAGAGGAUGGCCGGCCACACUGGAACUGAGACACGGUCCAGACUCCUACGGGAGGCAGCAGUGGGGAAUAUUGCGCAAUGGGCGAAAGCCUGACGCAGCGACGCCGCGUGGGGGAUGACGCUUUUCGGAGUGUAAACCCCUUUCGAUCGGGACGAAUGCCUCGCAAGAGGAGUGACGGUACCGGUAGAAGAAGCCCCGGCUAACUACGUGCCAGCAGCCGCGGUAAUACGUAGGGGGCCAGCGUUGCUCGGAAUAACUGGGCGUAAAGGGUUCGUAGGCGGUGCGGCAAGUUGGGAGUGAAAUCUCUGGGCUUAACCCAGAGACUGCUUUCAAAACUGCCGUGCUAGAGUGCGGGAGAGGCCAGUGGAAUUGCAGGUGUAGCGGUGAAAUGCGUAAAUAUCUGCAGGAACACCCGUGGCGAAGGCGGCUGGCUGGACCGCAACUGACGCUGAGGAACGAAAGCUAGGGGAGCAAACAGGAUUAGAUACCCUGGUAGUCCUAGCCCUAAACGAUCAGAACUUGGGGUGCAUCCCGUUGGGGGGUGCGUCUCGUAACUAACGCGUUAAUUUCUGCCCCUGGGGAGUACGGUCCCAAACUGAAACUCAAAGGAAUUGACGGGGGGCCC
rnacentral:rRNA from 1 species